UGGUAGCGCCCUCAGCGCCAGGCGCGGCCGGGGCCACCCUAACAGCCAGUGCCGAGCCCGGCGCAAGGUGCUUCGCCCGAGCUCGGACGCCGUCCCCGACUCUCCCGGACUCUGAGCCAUCCUUCCCGCCCCGGAUCUCCCCGCUGAUGCUGCUGCAGCCGUUUUGCAACAGCUUUGCCAUUCUCCCCCAGUACUCUUCCUCAUUUUCCCUGGAAAGUCUUGCCGUUACCGUGGUCUGUCCUUCUCCACUUGAUGCACUCGAAGGAAGGAGGCUCUGGAAUUUACUUCAGCCGUGUGUUCUACUCGCCAGCUCAGCCAGAGCAAUUUUACACCUGUUUGGCUUGUCUGAACAUGGCUUCAAGAAAUAUAAAAAAUAUAGGUUUUGGUACUUUAGGAAAAUAAGGCAUGUUGAAAAGGGUCAUUGGCUUAGAUAACAGCCUUUGCUCCUUUUCAGAGAAAGGUGCAGAAAUCACUUUUGGAGUUGCACUUUUAUUACAUCUCUUUGUUUAUUUAUUUAUUUAUUUAAAACCUAAACAUUCAGUAUUUAGAGUGCUCCUUACCAAUAAAAAAAAUUUGAAGAA